rnacentral:rRNA from 1 species
UGGGGAAUCUUCCGCAAUGGACGAAAGUCUGACGGAGCAACGCCGCGUGAGUGAUGACGGCCUUCGGGUUGUAAAGCUCUGUUAAUCGGGACGAAUGGUUCUUGUGCAAAUAGUGUGAGGAUUUGACGGUACCGGAAUAGAAAGCCACAGCUAACUACGUGCCAGCAGCCGCGGUAAUACGUAGGUGGCAAGCGUUGUCCGGAAUUAUUGGGCGUAAAGCGCGCGCAGGCGGAUUGGUCAGUCUGUCUUAAAAGUUCGGGGCUUAACCCCGUGAUGGGAUGGAAACUGCCAAUCUAGAGUAUCGGAGAGGAAAGUGGAAUUCCUAGUGUAGCGGUGAAAUGCGUAGAUAUUAGGAAGAACACCAGUGGCGAAGGCGACUUUCUGGACGAAAACUGACGCUGAGGCGCGAAAGCCAGGGGAGCGAACGGGAUUAGAUACCCCGGUAGUCCUGGCCGUAAACGAUGGGUACUAGGUGUAGGAGGUAUCGACCCCUUCUGUGCCGGAGUUAACGCAAUAAGUACCCCGCCUGGGGAGUACGACCGCAAGGUUG